rnacentral:lncRNA from 1 species
CAGGGACUUCAGGUCAAUGGAGGUGGGGCACAUGGACUAAAGGUCAAUGGAGGUGGGACAGAGAGACUACAGGUCAAUGGAGGUGGGGCACAGGGACUGCAGGUCAAUGGAGGUGGAGCACAGGCACUGCAGGUCAAUGGAGGUGGAGUACAGGGACUACAGGUCAAUGGAGGUGGAGCACAGGGACUAAAGGUCAAUGGAGGUGGGGCACAGGGACUACACGUCAGUGGAGGUGGAGUCACAGGGACUACAGGUCACUGGAGGUGGAGCACAGAGACUACAGGUCAGUGGAGGUGGGGCACAGAGACUACAGGUCAGUGGAGGUGGAGCACAGAGACUACAGGUCAAUGGAGGUGGGGUCACAGGGACUACAGGUCAAUGGAGGUGGGUGUAGAGAGACUACAGGUCAAUGGAGGUGGAGCACAGAGACUACAGGUCAGUGGAGGUGGAGCACAGGGACUACAGGUCAAUGGAGGUGGAGCACAGGGACUACACAUCACUGGAGGUGGAGUCACAGGGACUACAGGUCAAUGGAGGUGGGGGCACAGGGACUACAGGUCAAUGGAGGUGGGGGCACAGGGACUUCAGGUCAAUGGAGGUGGGGCACAUGGACUACAGGUCAAUGGAGGUGGGGCACAGAGACUACAGGUCAAUGGAGGUGGGGCACAGGGACUGCAGGUCAAUGGAGGUGGAGCACAGGCACUGCAGGUCAAUGGAGGUGGAGUACAGGGACUACAAGUCAAUGGAAGUGGAGCACAGGGACUACAGGUCAAUGGAGGUGGGGCACAGGGACUACAUGUCAGUGGAGGUGGAGUCACAGGGACUACAGGUCACUGGAGGUGGAGCACAGAGACUACAGGUCAGUGGAGGUGGGGCACAGAGACUACAGGUCAGUGGAGGUGGAGCACAGAGACUACAGGUCAAUGGAGGUGGGGUCACAGGGACUACAGGACAAUGGAGGUGGGUGCAGAGAGACUACAGGUCAAUGGAGGUGGAGCACAGAGACUACAGGUCAGUGGAGGUGGAGCACAGGGACUACAGGUCAAUGGAGGUGGAGCACAGAGACUACGCAUCACUGGAGAUGGAGUCACAGGGACUACAGGUCAAUGGAGGUGGGGGCACAGGGACUACAGGUCAAUGGAGGUGGGGCACAGGAACUACAGGUCAGUGGAGGUGGAGCACAGGGACUACAGGUCAAUGGAGGUGGAGCACAGGGACUGCAGGUCAAUGGAGGUGGGUGCAGAGAGACUACAGGUCAAUGGAGGUGGAGCACAGGGACUACACAUCACUGGAGGUGGAGUCACAGGGACUACAGGUCAAUGGAGGUGGGGGCACAGGGACUACAGGUCAAUGGAGGUGGGGCACAGGGACUACACGUCAGUGGAGGUGGGGUCACAGGGACUACAGGUCAAUGGAGGUGGGGGCACAGGGACUACACAUCAGUGGAGGUGGAGUCACAGGGACUACAGGUCAAUGGAGGUGGGGGCACAGGGACUACAGGUCAAUGGAGGUGGGGGCACAGGGACUACAGGUCAAUGGAGGUGGGGCACAGGGACUACAGGUCAAUAGAGAUGGGGUCACGGGGACUAAAGGUCAAUGGAUGUGGAGCACAGAGACUACGGGUCAAUAGAGGUGGGGCACAAGGACUACAGGUCAAUGGAGGUGGGGUCACAGGGACUACAGGUCAGUGGAGGUGGAGCACAGGGACUACAGGUCAGUGGAGGUGGAGUACAGGGACUAGAGUUCAGUGGAGGUGGAGCACAGGGACUACAGGUCAAUGGAGGUGGGGCACAGGGACUACAGGUCAAUGGAGGUGGGAGCACAGGGACUACAGGUCAAUGGAGGUGGAGUCACAGGGACUACAGGUCAAUGGAGGUGGGAGCACAGGGACUACAGGUCAAUGGAGGUGAGGCACAGGGACUACAGGUCAAUGGAGGUGGGGGCACAGGGACUACAGGUCAAUGGAGGUGGGGCACAGGGACUACAGGUCAGUGGAAGUGGAGUCACAGGGACUACAGGUCAGUGGAGGUGGGGUCACAGGGACUACAGGUCACUGGAGGUGGGGGCACAGGGACUACAGGUCAAUGGAGGUGGGGGCACAGGGACUACAGGUGAAUGAAGGUGGGGCACAGAGACUACAGGUCAAUGGAGGUGGAGUCACAGGGACUACAGGUCAAUGGACGUGGAGUAUAGGGACUACAGGUC